GACUUUGGGAUAACUUCAGGAAACUGGGGCUAAUACCGGAUAGGAGCUCCUGCUGCAUGGUGGGGGUUGGAAAGUUUCGGCGGUUGGGGAUGGACUCGCGGCUUAUCAGCUUGUUGGUGGGGUAGUGGCUUACCAAGGCUUUGACGGGUAGCCGGCCUGAGAGGGUGACCGGCCACAUUGGGACUGAGAUACGGCCCAGACUCCUACGGGAGGCAGCAGUGGGGAAUAUUGCACAAUGGGCGGAAGCCUGAUGCAGCAACGCCGCGUGCGGGAUGACGGCCUUCGGGUUGUAAACCGCUUUCGCCUGUGACGAAGCGUGAGUGACGGUAAUGGGUAAAGAAGCACCGGCUAACUACGUGCCAGCAGCCGCGGUGAUACGUAGGGUGCGAGCGUUGUCCGGAUUUAUUGGGCGUAAAGGGCUCGUAGGUGGUUGAUCGCGUCGGAAGUGUAAUCUUGGGGCUUAACCCUGAGCGUGCUUUCGAUACGGGUUGACUUGAGGAAGGUAGGGGAGAAUGGAAUUCCUGGUGGAGCGGUGGAAUGCGCAGAUAUCAGGAGGAACACCAGUGGCGAAGGCGGUUCUCUGGGCCUUUCCUGACGCUGAGGAGCGAAAGCGUGGGGAGCGAACAGGCUUAGAUACCCUGGUAGUCCACGCUGUAAACGGUGGGUACUAGGUGUGGGGUCCAUUCCACGGGUUCCGUGCCGUAGCUAACGCUUUAAGUACCCCGC
rnacentral:rRNA from 1 species